GCAUAAAUUUGAGACACAUGAGCUACCAUUCAACUCAGGUUUCCAAUUUUUAAAGGAAUUGCCAGGUUUCCCUCAGGCCAUGUUUUCAGAGACAAAUCUUUUCCUGCUGCCUGCUGAGCAGAACUGAUAAAACUGAGGCUAGAUCUGCAGAUGUGGAACUAAGGGCAUUUAAAAAAUGAAUAAUAACACAUGCUACUUAUAUUGACCUACUUCCUGCAGCACAGGAUUUCUACAGGGGUUCAAACCUAAUUUCAGUCAGCUUGAUCUUAUUGCUUAGUUUACAGAUACACAAGUAAAGGAAGAGAAAGGUUGUAGAGAUAUGAAGGUCAGGCUGCUUUAAUGGCACUGCUUUCAAUUCUCCCUUGGCAGGAGUGUAUCCCACACAUUUAUGUCUCUGGAUGAUGGCACAGGAUGGAUAAAGGAUUGGAAAAUAGCAAAGGAGCUCCAAACUGAAGCGAUCUUGCAAUUCAACUUGAGUCUGCAGUCUUUUCUUCUCCUCCUCAGCAGCACGAGCAGCUGCUGCUUCCAGUUGCUGGAAGAGAAGGGUGAGAGGUACGGGGAAGAAAAGAAGGAAAAAAAAAAUUGUCAAAACUAAAUAAUUUUGAGGGAAUAGAACCUUAUUUAACAAGUUUUGGUUUUAACAAAAAUGGAAGAAGCCUUCAAAAGCAUCAAAGCACCAGUUUGGGUUUUUUAAUGUCUGAGACUAUUCACAGCCUUUAAAUAUAAUUUUCUAUCUUGAUUGGUUGCAAAACAAUUUUAAAUUUACUAAUGAAAAGGCAAUUACCUGACUAUCUCCAAGUUUCCUCUGAGUUCUGCUUUUCUCAAGUGAUAGAAAUCACUGUAUUUCCUCCUCUACCUCAAUAGGAUUGAAAACAAUUAUGAAAAACCACAUUUCAGGCAGGACUGCAUGGGACUUCCAAUAGGGAAAACAUGCCAGCACACACUGAGUUCAUACAGAAACAGAAAUGAGAAGCACUGAACUGCCAUGGGAAAGAAGAAGUGCCACAAACUUUGACUAGAAUAAAUGAUUGUGCUAUUGUGAAUCAUCACUCUAACAUCCCCUAAACUGCCAAGUAAGGUAAAUAAAAUCCUGGUCCAUAACCAUCACUUGAAAUUAGGAGGAACAUUAGCUGCUGGUACCUUCCCACCUUCUUGCAUCUUAUUUUACUUCUGUUCCAUCUUGAUUUUGCAAAUAAAGACAAUGGUCACA